rnacentral:lncRNA from 1 species
AAGCUCUGGACUCUGCUGUUACACUGAGAAGACCAAAUCACAAAGUUUGGAGAUAAUGUGGAGCAGUUCUUUUGUCUGUAAUCUUUUGUCAUUUAAGGAGAAAUUAUAAAGCAUAAAUUUGCUCCCAGAAGGAAACUGAGGAAAAUAUACAUGCAUUUAUGGUUUUACAUACAUAUAAAUUGAGAAGAAAUGAAAAUAAAUUGACUACUUCAUUGAAUUCAGUACAACUUUCUUAUGACCAGAUGAAACUAUAUCGAGCUUUAUAAAAAGUAAGUAUCCCCUUCAUUCAAAUUGAACCAGUCAAUCAGUCAGUCCAUAAACAAUUAUUAAACACUUCCUAAGGGGGCAGCUGGGUGGCUCAGUAGAUCGAGAGCCAGACCUAGAGAUGGGAGGCCCUGGGUUCAAAUCUGUCCACAGACACUUCCCAGCUGUUUGACCCUGGGCAAGUCACUUGACCCCCAUUGCCUAGCCCUUACCACUCUUAUGCCUUGGAACCAAAACACAGUAUUGAUUCCAAGACAGAAGGUAUGGGUUUAAAGAAAAAAAAAAUACUUCCUAUGUGCUAGGCACUAUACUAAGCACUGGAAUCAGAAACCAUUAUUCUGAAAUGUGCCCACCAGUAGCCAG